CACGCUCAUGUCAGUGUUCACACAUGACGCGUCUGCCCUUUUCACUAUUCAGCGUAGAAAAAAGAGUCUUCAUCCUCCUCCCGGUAAUUAUUGCUGCUACUGUUGGCCACCUACAACGGCUCCUUUCCCUAGCCUCCUCGAACCCGGCACAACCAUUUUCUUGAGCUCCGCUUCGUCUCUGCGCCUUCAGCUCGUCGCCAUUGCCGCAUAAGCUCAUCUGCUCUUCCAAGGUUUCAAAUCUUCCAACUACUAAAGCGCGUCUCCCUUCACUGGAAAGGUUGAGUAGUUCUUCCAUCAGAAGGAGUUUCUGUUCACCCGGCAACUGCAUCUCAGACAUUCGCUUUGCUCUCCCUCCCGGAAGUCACUGAGUUCUUCGCAUGAUAUAAAAAGAUCUUGCUCUAUCUACAAAAAGUUAUUUGCGAGAAACUGAUUU